GACAGUAUGGUGUAGUGGUUAUCACGUCUGCCUCACACGCAGAACUUCCCCGGUUCGAGCCAGGUAGUGUCA
rnacentral:tRNA from 1 species